CAGCAUAUAGUUUUUAUUAUAAAAUGUAGCAUUUGGGUUGUUGAGAUUUUUUUGCUGA
rnacentral:tRNA from 1 species